UAUGUGUGUGUGUGUGUGUGUGUGUGUGUGUGUGUGUAAACACACACACACACACACAAAUACACACAUACA
rnacentral:miRNA from 1 species